UACGGGGGGAGCAAGCGUUGUUCGGAUUUACUGGGCGUAAAGGGCGCGUAGGCGGCCACCGCAAGUCGACUGUGAAAUCUCCGGGCUUAACCCGGAAAGGUCAGCCGAUACUGCGGGGCUAGAGUGCAGAAGGGGCAACUGGAAUUCUUGGUGUAGCGGUGAAAUGCGUAGAUAUCGAGAGGAACACCUGCGGCGAAGGCGGGUUGCUGGGCUGACACUGACGCUGAAGCGCGAAAGCUAGGGGAGCGAACGGG
rnacentral:rRNA from 1 species